CCUACGUGUAGCUGCAGUAACGAAUCUUCCGCAAUGCACGAAAGUGUGACGGAGCGACGCCGCGUGUAGAUGAAGUCCUUCGGGAUGUAAACUACUGUCAGGGGUAAGUCACCCCAGAGGAAGGGACGGCUAACUCUGUGCCAGCAGCCGCGGUAAUACAGAGGUCCCGAGCGUUAGGCGGAAUCACUGGGCUUAAAGCGUGUGUAGGCGGAUCGGUAAGUACCUUGUGAAAUCCCAUGGCUUAACCAUGGAACUGCUUGGUAUACUGCCAGUCUUGAGCCAGCUAGGGGCUACCGGAACAAAUGGUGGAGCGGUGAAAUGCGUAGAUAUCAUUUGGAACGCCAAUGGAGAAAUCAGGUAGCUGGGCGUGCUGACGCUGAGACACGAAAGCCAGGGGAGCGAACGGGAUUAGAUACCCCUGUAGUC
rnacentral:rRNA from 1 species